rnacentral:rRNA from 1 species
GUGGGGAAUAUUGGGCAAUGGGCGAAAGCCUGACCCAGCAACGCCGCGUGAAGGAAGAAGGUUUUCGGAUUGUAAACUUCUGUCCUCAGGGAAGAAGAAAGUGACGGUACCUGAGGAGGAAGCCCCGGCUAACUACGUGCCAGCAGCCGCGGUAAUACGUAGGGGGCGAGCGUUGUCCGGAAUGACUGGGCGUAAAGGGCGCGUAGACGGCUGUCUAAGUCUGGAGUGAAAGUCCUGCUUUCAAGGUGGGAAUUGCUUUGGAGACUGGAUGGCUUGAGUGCGGAAGAGGUAAGUGGAAUUCCCAGUGUAGCGGUGAAAUGCGUAGAGAUUGGGAGGAACACCAGUGGCGAAGGCGACUUACUGGGCCGUAACUGACGUUGAUGCGCGAAAGCGUGGGGAGCGAACAGGAUUAGAUACCCUUGUAGUCC